GUAGGGUGCAAGCGUUAAUCGGAAUUACUGGGCGUAAAGCGUGCGCAGGCGGUGAUGCAAGACAGAGGUGAAAUCCCCGGGCUCAACCUGGGAACUGCCUUUGUGACUGCAUGACUAGAGUACGGUAGAGGGGGAUGGAAUUCCGCGUGUAGCAGUGAAAUGCGUAGAUAUGCGGAGGAACACCGAUGGCGAAGGCAAUCCCCUGGACCUGUACUGACGCUCAUGCACGAAAGCGUGGGGAGCAAACAGGAUUAGAUACCCUGGUAGUCCACGCCCUAAACGAUGUCAACUGGUUGUUGGACGGCUUUCUUCUCAGUAACGAAGCUAACGCGUGAAGUUGACCGCCUGGGGAGUACGGCCGCAAGGUUG
rnacentral:rRNA from 1 species